GAGUGUUUUGUUUUGAGAUUUUUGUCAUUGGUUUUUAUAGGAUAUUUUAGUGAUAAUUUAAAAAAAUAUUAUUUACUGCUAAAAACAACCAGAAACCAAUGGAUAGAUUUUUUAUUAAAAAAAAAGUUCCGGAGUCUAAACAGACUGAAACUCAAAUAACAACAGUAGCAGAAAAUAUAAACCAAAUAAAUAAUGAAGGAUCAGAAUCGUGCAGUAGUGAUGACGAAAAAGAACAAAUUAAAGUUAAGCGAAAAAAGUACAAACAGUGGUUAAGUAAAAACUUAAACUGGCUUGUAAGCACAAAGGAAAAAACAUCUUACUGUCAAGUAUGUCAUAUCCAACUAACGGGAUCCUUCAGUCAUAUUAAACGUCAUGGGAAAACCCUCAAACAUCUCAAAAAUAUGAAAUCUGCACACAGAACUCCAAAAUUUAAGACUUUUAUUGAAUCGUCUCCUGAAAUGAGAUUGAUUCAAAAAAUUAGAACAUCAGAAGUUGUGAUGAUAAUGUUUUUAGCAGAACACAAUCCCCCUUUCUUAUUACUGGAUCAUUUGAACAAGUUAUUGUCUGCUGUUUGCCCUGAUUCUGAAGUGGCAAAAAGAAUAUCAAUCAACAGAAAAAAGGGAACACAUCUCUGCUUCUCAGCAGAUAGCAUUCAUGCAAAAAGACAGAUAACUUUUUCUCAUUAAUAAUCGACGAAACAACAGAUAUUAGUAACAAGAAAGCUCUAGCAAUUGUAGCACAAUAUUUUAAAGAUGGUGCUGUCCAGGAUGAAUUUUCAGUGCCGAAUUGUAGUAGUGCCAGUGCUCCCGAAUCAUGAAUGGAAGAUCGUUCGUUGAUCCGCACCUCGACCAGAUAUUUUUUUCGAGAGAGAAUGUAUCUAGUUGAAGUGGGGAUGAUUCCUGCAAUGUUGAAUGGCGAAUAGCUAUGAUGUUUGCAGAUGGCUUAAAAGGACAUUAACAUUGCCUACUCAGGUCACUAGGUUGAUGACCUAAGCCGUAGACACGUAAAAAAGGGCUAUUUUUUAUCAAAUCAGUUUUCCCAUAUGCAUAUGACAAACCAAAAAAUGCAUCAAUCUGCUAGUGGCCUCAGCAACUAGGGCUAUUCGACUAGUUGGUAACGGAUGUCGUUUAUAAAGCCAAACGUGGCCUCACUUGAAUGGAUUUUAAUGCAAGCUAUUCGUAUAGUUGACAUAUGACAAAAUGCUACAAUGCUCUUCAGAAUCAAAUAAACACUACGCAAUAACAUUCCAAAAGUAUUUUAUUCAAAAUGGCAUAUAUAGGCAAAAUUAUUGUGACAACGUCAAAUGACAGUGGCAGUUAUAACAUAAUUCAUGGUUGUCAUAACUGUCACAAUAAUUUAAGCUAUGUUUGACUCCAUUUUGAAUAAAAUACUUCUUAAUUAUUAUUACUUAAUGUUUAUUUUUGUUCUUUGGCAGUUGUCAAUGGAUAAUGUGGGUUAAAUAUUGUGAUAAUAUGAAAAGACAUUGACAGUUGAUUCAGAAAUCAUGGUUGCCAAAAAGAAAUUAUGGAAACGGGCCACCACUUUAUCCUUAUCGAAUAUCGUCAAUUGUUGAUAAUUACAAAUAUACGUUAAACGUGGUGGGUCAGUUUCAUAAUCAUCUAAGAAAUCAUGGCCAUUGUCAUUAUAGUCAACAUUGUCAAUAAUAAUUGUCAGAACUGUUAUUUUACAUAUGGUCCUUUGAUGAAUCAUAUUUGAUACAUAAAGGCCAAUUUGUCUUUGAAUUUUUCAUAAUUCACAACCUGUUAAACACACAUAUCUAUGCCCUAUAUUCAGAACAUUUUUUCUAAGGUGUGAGAAAUUGGUCGAUUCAGUACUGUUUACUACAAAUUCAGUACUUUUUGAUGUAUAAAUUCAGUACCAAAAACAAACUCCCUAGAACAACGCUGAGUGGUAUUAGACGAGUGCCGAAACCAGCCUUGAGGCAAUCAUUGUCUUCCAAACAGCGUCUACCGACUUGAAGAACUACGGAAACCAAAAUCGUACAAUGUUUCAAUUGCAAGAUGAUGGGCCAUUACCAGUCGGAAUGUCCCCGAAAACGCCUGGAAUGUCGUCGGUGUCAUUUAUUGGGCCACGAAGAAUCCAAGUGUACAACGACAACGACCUCAAUUCCGUAAGCAUGGAAAUAAAUCAAACGAGGGUCCACAGGUCUAGGUGCUUCUUCACGAGGGCGUGAAGUAUAUCAGGAUGGCCGACUGUAAUAACCUUCAACGUGUAAGAAACCACUAUCGACAUGGGUGGAAAAAAACGCGGUACCCGAAAAAAAACACGGGGCCCGUGAGAUUGGAUCACAGAACACCAGGGUGUUCUGUGAUUGGAUGGGAAUUAGUCAGUCAUAGUUAGUCACAGUGAUGUUACGUGCAGUACAAUUGUACUGAAUCUAGUACAAUCGAACUAAAUGCAGUACGGCAGUA
rnacentral:lncRNA from 1 species